rnacentral:tRNA from 1 species
UCGUCGACCGCACCGGCGGGUGCGGCGGCGUCGCCGUCGGUGGAGACGUCAGCGGUGCCGUCGGGGGUGCUCGGGGCGUCCUCGACGACC